AAUGACCUGCUUAGAGUUCUGCGCCCCCCAGCAUGGAGAGCAGAGCGCAAAGAUUUCCUCCAGACUCCCACAUUCUCCCUUGGAAUCCAAGAACUUGUCUACUAUCACAACACUUUAGUACCCACUUCUCCUAAGGAGGCAGCAGAAACCAAGGUAAUCACAAUGGUCAACAGCAGCGAAGGCAGCACUUUCUGAUUUUAAACUUGACUGCUAUGGAUGCCACCUCAGUUUAAUAUCUGGCAGCACUGCCGUCAGUGAAUCAGCUCUAUCUGUGCAGUGGGCAAGAAGGACCCACUGGGUGACCACAAUAUGGCACUUCGGACAGGAGGUGUCCUGGUGAUUAGCUGGAGCUCUGGGGAGCUGUUGCUGAAAUUAACUUGAGUGCUUUGGAGAGAGAUUUACAUGGAAGAGUGGAGCCAGGGCUGCUCCUUUGGCAGGCACUGCUGUGCCACUGUGGAGGCGCCCCUGCUUUUCCCAUGCUGUGCAAUGUCCUCAAAGGCCUUUGGAGCCAUGCCUAGGCUCAGCCCCAUCCUGGUGUCCCCCUGUGUCCGUUGUGCCACUGCCCGGCUACUUCACUUGGCCAUGGGCCUUACCAGCUUGCAGACAAACCCGUCCAUCUACGCCUCCCAGCGCAGCUUGGCCCACUUGCAAGCACUUACAGAGGGUUUCAGAAGGAACAUGUCUGCCAUCUGUGUUUGGAGACUGUGUCCCAGACUUUCGAGCUCACAUUAGUCAUCGCCACAGACGGGACUGGAGUCCUGCCCACUGGAGUCCCAAAGGUCUCUGGUGUUUGUUUUCCACUCUGCAUGCCUGGGUUGGGGGAUGGCAGGGGGAUACAGGUUGUUGGAGUACCUCCCAGCUGGCCGUUUCCUUGGUUCCCUGGGGCUGCCUUGCUUCCUCUCU
rnacentral:antisense_RNA from 1 species